UUACACAUUUAGAACCAGAAGAGGAAGUAAGUAACAGAAACUGGACUCAAGAAUCAUUUGGUUUGCCAGCGACUGCAGAACUCUAGGGUUCUAUGUUCAUUCAGACAAAACAUGACAAUACCUCAUUAACUAUAAGAAGGCUUCAAGUGGAAAAAUCCUUUAAUGCUAAGAUGUUCUCAUAAGACACAGAUGCAUUCCUUGAAAGUAAGUAGCACAGAUGAAAGCCUCUACAGAUGGCUGCUUUAGAGCCACCUCCUGUCUCCUGCAGGAUCAUCACUUACAUCACAGUCCUGUCGCCUAGGGGACUUUGCAGAAGUAAACAUAUACCAGCAUUCUAUUCCUCUCACCCAAGAAGUUUCUAGAGGAAAAAGAGCUUUGGAGUUUGAAUCAUAUUUCAGAUGCAGAGAUUCCCCUCUAGAGGACUGCCCGAUCUGAAGCAGCAACUAAGGAUUUGCUCUGAAUAAACUGCCUUUGGACAGACACAGUCCCAGAUAUAAAUGAAGGACAGCAGCCCAUGGAUCUCCCAAUAGCAACUGCAGAUUAAGCCAACAGGCAGGCUGCUGAUAGGAUCUGCUUCCCUUCUUACCUUGGAAUGCCCACACAGGGCUAUGAGGGACCAACCAAAUAUGUGCCUUGGUGACUGUUAAGUAAAAGCAAGUAUAUAAUCAUUUCUCUCCACACUUCCCACAUACUUACCAAGCAAAAAGCCCAUGAAAAAUCUGCAGCAGCCUUUGAUAGCAGGAAGACAUUAUGUGGUACUCCUGAACUUUCAUUCCUGGUCCAUCAACUACACCAUGAUUCUCAGCAGCUAAACACUAAAAAUAAAAAUGAUUUUAGGACAGUUGCUUCAGUAAUUGUCCUCAUUUUCCUUUUUCUCAGCCAAAAAUAAAACCUCAUAUUUGCUUA